GUUUGAGAACUAUCUAAUAGAGGAACAAGACGUUGAAGGAAGUGGCUUUACAAGUGUCAUGGGUUUCGUUUCAUUCCUCGAUGAGAUUAACCAAAGCACAUUGGAGUACUUGAAAUAAGUUGCAUCCAUCUUUCAACACCACAGGUUAUGACGGGAAGUAGGUACCUCCAAACUCACUGUACAAUUCGACAAAAAACAGUUAUAUCAUCGACAACCAAUGAACAAGUCCAAACUUUUGCAACAAAGGGUUACAUGUAGCAUCACAGCAAGUAUUUCU
rnacentral:misc_RNA from 1 species